rnacentral:rRNA from 1 species
GAUGAACGCUAGCUACAGGCUUAACACACGCAAGUCGAGGGGUAACGAGAGGGAAGCUUGCUUUCCUUGUCGACGACCGGCGCACGGGUGAGUAACGCGUAUCCAACCUGCCCCCAACUAGGGAAUAACCUUGCGAAAGUAAGACUAAUACCCUAUAAUUUCCUCAGAUGACAUCUGACGAGGAAUAAAGAUUUAUCGGUUGUGGAUGGGGAUGCGUCUGAUUAGCUUGUUGGCGGGGUAACGGCCCACCAAGGCAACGAUCAGUAGGGGUUCUGAGAGGAAGGUCCCCCACAUUGGAACUGAGACACGGUCCAAACUCCUACGGGAGGCAGCAGUGAGGAAUAUUGGUCAAUGGGCGGAAGCCUGAACCAGCCAAGUAGCGUGCAGGAUGACGGCCCUAUGGGUUGUAAACUGCUUUUAUACAGGAAUAAAGUUAGCCACGUGUGGUUAUUUGUAGGUACUGUAUGAAUAAGGACCGGCUAAUUCCGUGCCAGCCGCCGCAGUAA